AUUCAAACCUAUUGCAGUAGGGGAGAGAGACUGAACCCAACUCCACUCAAACAGAGGGUGGCAGGGCUUGUAAGUGUUAGAGGGAGCUAGUGGAAAAGUCCCGGAGGACAUCAGAGAGGAGCGUGGUCUAUGUGAUGAGGUCGGCAGUGUUCGCUAAUUGGCACUUAUUGAAGUUAGACUCCUAUCCUCUCACGGGGGCUGGGAGACAAGAGUGGUGGUGUCUUCCUUGAUGAUGACAUUUGAAAGGGCUGAUUCCCUGAUCCUCGAGAGAGAAAGACAUUCCUGCGUUGUAAAACUGAUAACAGGUUGGGAGAAGAUUUACAUCUCCAAGGGGCAGAGAAAUAAUUUAUAAUCGCAAGUUUUCUAAAGUAAGUGUUAAGAAAAGGGGGGUCAGGGUGCCAUAGGAAGAAACUGUGGAAACUUUAGUCAGGCUGAGGGGGACAUUAAGGCCAUCUUGGUCAGUGGAAAGCAGUGGCAAGCAGGCCGAGACUCUGGUGGCUUGUGGGAAGGAGAGAUUUCUGCAGGACCUGGUCAGCGAGGGCUCAACCAUGACCUCCCCUGCGUCCAGAGGAGUGGAAUUAUUUUGCAUCUCAGGUAACCAACCAGCACUUGAUGAUGCAAAGAGGAUGCUGCGUCUUUUGCUUCCUGUUUACCUGGGAGGAGGUGUGAAAUGA
rnacentral:lncRNA from 1 species